GGGAAUGUGACCGGGGAUUUUCAGGCUUGGAUUUUAAAUCAGACUCAUGGUUACGAGGCUGCCAGGAGGCAACCCUGUCCCCGAAACCCCAGCUUCUCCCACUUCGCAAAGCGCACCUUGACAGGUCUCUGGUGUGAGGCACAGAUGUCUGGAAACAUCCGGAAGACCUGGUCUGGCUGGGGCUCCUCAGGAGGCUGCACCAGGGAGCCGGGACCGCAGCUCUUCCCCGCUUCUUCCACCAGCUGCCGGACGUAGAGCUGCUCGAUCUAGAGGGACGGGCACAGGUGGAGUCCCCCAGUCCCUGCUGCCUGUUCUCCAGCCCAAGUAUAAACGGAGUCCCGAGGAGUGGGCCGGGAGAUCUUACCUGCACGAGAAUGAGUUUGGAGCGCAAGGGGGUCAUAUCCGGAAACUCUUCUCCGAAG